CGCGUAGGCGGUUUGUUAAGUCAGCUGUGAAAGCCCCGGGCUCAACCUGGGAACUGCAGUUGAUACUGGCCGACUGGAGUACGAGAGAGGGAGGUAGAAUUCCAUGUGUAGCGGUGAAAUGCGUAGAUAUAUGGAGGAAUACCGGUGGCGAAGGCGGCCUCCUGGCUCGAUACUGACGCUGAGGUGCGAAAGCGUGGGAUCAAACA
rnacentral:rRNA from 1 species